GAUGAACGCUGGCGGCGUGCCUAAUACAUGCAAGUAGAACGCUGAAGGAAGGAGCUUGCUCUUUCCGGAUGAGUUGCGAACGGGUGAGUAACGCGUAGGUAACCUGCCUGGUAGCGGGGGAUAACUAUUGGAAACGAUAGCUAAUACCGCAUAACAGUAGAUGUUGCAUGACAACUAUUUGAAAGGGGCAAUUGCUCCACUACCAGAUGGACCUGCGUUGUAUUAGCUAGUUGGUGAGGUAACGGCUCACCAAGGCGACGAUACAUAGCCGACCUGAGAGGGUGAUCGGCCACACUGGGACUGAGACACGGCCCAGACUCCUACGGGAGGCAGCAGUAGGGAAUCUUCGGCAAUGGACGGAAGUCUGACCGAGCAACGCCGCGGGAGUGAAGAAGGUUUUCGGAUCGUAAAGCUCUGUUGUAAGAGAAGAACGAGUGUGAGAGUGGAAAGUUCACACUGUGACGGUAUCUUACCAGAAAGGGACGGCUAACUACGUG
rnacentral:rRNA from 1 species